rnacentral:rRNA from 1 species
UGGGGAAUAUUGGGCAAUGGGCGAAAGCCUGAUCCAGCCAUGCCGCGUGUGUGAAGAAGGUCUUCGGAUUGUAAAGCACUUUAAGUUGGGAGGAAGGGCAGUAAGCUAAUACCUUGCUGUUUUGACGUUACCGACAGAAUAAGCACCGGCUAACUCUGUGCCAGCAGCCGCGGUAAUACAGAGGGUGCAAGCGUUAAUCGGAAUUACUGGGCGUAAAGCGCGCGUAGGUGGUUCGUUAAGUUGGAUGUGAAAUCCCCGGGCUCAACCUGGGAACUGCAUCCAAAACUGGCGAGCUAGAGUAUGGUAGAGGGUGGUGGAAUUUCCUGUGUAGCGGUGAAAUGCGUAGAUAUAGGAAGGAACACCAGUGGCGAAGGCGACCACCUGGACUGAUACUGACACUGAGGUGCGAAAGCGUGGGGAGCAAACAGG